rnacentral:rRNA from 1 species
UACGGGGGGAGCAAGCGUUGUUCGGAUUUACUGGGCGUAAAGGCGCGUAGGCGGUCAGCACAAGUCAGUUGUGAAAUCUCCGGGCUUAACUCGGAAAGGUCAACUGAUACUGUGCGACUAGAGUGCGGAAGGGGCAACUGGAAUUCUCGGUGUAGCGGUGAAAUGCGUAGAUAUCGAGAGGAACACCUGCGGCGAAGGCGGGUUGCUGGGCCGACACUGACGCUGAUGCGCGAAAGCCAGGGGAGCGAACGGG